AAUUCGAUGCAACGCGAAGAACCUUACCUGGUCUUGACAUCCCGGAGACCCUUAGGAAACUAGGGGUGCUUCCAUCUGGAAGAAUCUGGAGACAGGUGCUGCAUGGCUGUCGUUAGCUCGUGUCGUGAGAUGUUGGGUUAAGUCCCGCAACGAGCGCAACCCUUGCCUUUAGUUGCCAGCAGUUCGGCUGGGCACUCUAAAGGGACUGCCGGUGUUAAACCGGAGGAAGGUGGGGAUGACGUCAAGUCCUCAUGGCCUUUAUGACCAGGGCUACACACGUACUACAAUGGCCGAUACAAAGGGCAGCGACACUGCGAGGUGAAGCCAAUCCCGUAAAAUCGGUCUCAGUCCGGAUUGGAGUCUGCAACUCGACUCCAUGAAGUUGGAAUCGCUAGUAAUCGUGGAUCAGCAUGCCACGGUGAAUACGUUCCCGGGCCUU
rnacentral:rRNA from 1 species